rnacentral:rRNA from 1 species
UACAGAGGGGGCUAGCGUUGUUCGGAAUUACUGGGCGUAAAGGGCGCGUAGGUGGCCUGUUAAGUCGAACGUGAAAUCCCCCGGGCUCAACCCGGGGAACUGCGUCCGAGACUGGCAGGCUCGAAUCCGGGAGAGGGAUGUGGAAUUCCAGGUGUAGCGGUGAAAUGCGUAGAGUAUCAGGGAAGAACACCCAACGGCGAAGGCAGCUCGCUGGGACGGUACUGACGCUGAGACGCGAAAGCGUGGGGAGCGAACAGG